GGCAUGUGAGGAUAUCAAACCAAUAGGUUACGUAAAAAAAGGAAUUAAAAGGACAAAGGUGAAAAGAAACCGAAGAAGGAUCAGGAUUGGCGGAGCCUCCAGAGGUGACAGGACACUGGGCAGGAGCCACAGGAUGGGGGAGGGGGCGGUGCUGGCACGGUGACUCCUGGCAGGGCUGCAUUCUUACUGAGAUCCUCUGUGGGGCACACGGCCGUAGGAGAAGCUGCUCGAUUUAAGGUGAAAUCACCAGAGAAAACAUUUACAACAAUUUUUAGAUUUUAUCGUUCCAAGAUGGAUCCAGAAUUAAUGGAGAAAUUAUCGGAGGAGAUGAAGAACGUGACCGGGAAAAUGGGGGAGAUCCAGGGCGUCCCCCUCCCCGAGACCACCUGGGACCAGAUCUACAACCUUCAGGUGCGAGGAAGACAACACCUUGAUCUGACCAUUUUCUAAAGCAGUUAGUUUAUGUUUCUUAGACCAAAAAAGACUCCAUGGUCUUCUACUUUUACUUCCAGAGGAUAAAUAAGGGUCUGCCGGAUCCUGCGACCUGUUCCUUGGGGGAGCUGCUUUGACCAUGUUAUCGGAUGGUGGAACGCAAAAGACAAACACCAUACUCUCUAUGUCUUCUACGAGGACAUGAUGGAGGUGAGGACAGGGACUGAUGGAGGUGAGGACGAGGACUUCCUUACAUACACUCAGUUCAGUUACUUACAUUAUCUCCUGUAUUCUGUCCUUGUGACUUUUCCCUGGUCUGCACUCUGAUAUAUUUAUUACAAUUUAUGUGUUGACUUUUGUGCAGUGGACACGGGAAGAAUUUCAGAUCAGAGCGGCAUAUGAAACGCUGAUUGUAAGAAAUUCUCCUCAUCGAUCUACUUUUUUACGUCUUCCAAGAGGGGG